rnacentral:rRNA from 1 species
UCAAGAAUAUUCCUCAAUGGACGAAAGUCUGAAGGAGCGACGCCGCGUGCAUGAUGAAGUCCCUCGGGACGUAAAGUGCUUUUAUUUGGGAAGAAACAAUGACGGUACCAAAUGAAUAAGGAGCCGCUAACCUCGUGCCAGCAGCGGCGGUAAUACGAGGGCUCCAAGCGUUAUCCGGAUUUAUUGGGCGUAAAGGGUCCGUAGGUGGUUGGUCGCAUCUUCUGUCAAAUUCCAGGGCUUAACCCUGGAGCCGCGGAAGAGAUGGGCCGACUAGAGGACGGGAGAGGUAAGCGGAAUUGCUGGUGUAGGGGUUAAAUCCGUUAAUAUCAGCAGGAACACCGAAUGCGUAGGCAGCUUACUGGAACGUACCUGACACUGAGGGACGAAAGCGUGGGGAGCG